rnacentral:rRNA from 1 species
UACGUAGGUGGCAAGCGUUACUCGGAAUCACUAGGCGUAAAGCGCAGGUAGGAGGUUUGGUAAGUCUGUUGUGAAAGCUCCCGGCUUAACUGGGAGAGGUCAACGGAAACUGCCAGGCUAGAGUGCGGUAGAGGUAGCUGGAAUUCCCGGUGUAGCGGUGAAAUGCGUAGAUAUCGGGAGGAAUACCUAUGGCGAAAGCAGGCUACUGGACCGUCACUGACUCUGAUCUGCGAAAGCUAGGGGAGCAAACAGG